rnacentral:rRNA from 1 species
UACAGAGGUCUCAAGCGUUGUUCGGAUUCAUUGGGCGUAAAGGGUGCGUAGGUGGCGCCGUAAGUCAGGUGUGAAAUUUCGGAGCUUAACUCCGAAACUGCAUUUGAUACUGCGGUGCUUGAGGACUGGAGAGGAGACUGGAAUUCACGGUGUAGCAGUGAAAUGCGUAGGAUAUCGUGAGGAAGACCAGUGGCGAAGGC